rnacentral:tRNA from 1 species
GCCUGGGUGGCUCUGUUGGUUGAGCAUCCAACUUCAGCUCAGGUCAUGAUCUCACGGCUCGUGGGUUCAAGCCCCACGUCAGGCU